CUUUUUCCUUCUUCUUCCUCGCGCGCGACAGCACCCUCUCCCUUUGCUCUCUACGAUCUCCAGCCACCGAUCACAGUCUCCAGCGAUCUGACCUUCUUUCUUCAUCUUCUCGACGAGAGGAGUUCGUUGGUGGUGUUGUUUUGCAGAAAAGAGGCCAGAAUCGCGAAGAACGCGACUGGGGCCGAGUGUCGCGCAGUACUGGCGAUCCACGCCGUUUGCGGUGGCUACAACUUGAAGAAGCAGUGUCGAUCGUCUCACCUCCUCCAUGUGAGCCUUUUGCCGCCGUUGAAUCAAGCGUCUGAUGGAAAAUGGUGAAGCCACCAUUAAUGGCGGCACCAAACUGCUGUCGAACCCGAUCCGGCCAAUCAAGAACCGAUCUCACUAAAUUAACGCCAAAAAUGGACUCCUUGGUGAAUUUUGAGUUGAAUGAUGUGAUUGUUGCAAAUUUUCUGGGAAAGGAUGAUUUUCCGGCCACCGUGCACGGCGGUCGGCGGCAGCAGUUCGGUGACCGGCCGGCGACACUCCGGCGAGGACCCGAGAGACAGAAUGCUCUUCUCUUCGCGCUGAUCGUGGAAUCGUCGCCCGAUUCUCAACUGGUCAGAUCCAACAACUUUCAAAUUCACCAAAUUCCAGCAACUGCGAAAGAGUAAGUUCUCAAGGAGAUUACAAUUCACCAAGAAGUUACAAACUACGGCAUCAGUGAGAUCCACACUGUCCAUUGAGAGGCUAAUGAGAGAUCUCAAACUUUCAAAACCUGGAGAAAGCACAAUGAAUGCACUUAAAGCCAGAUGUUUCACAGACUACACAUUGGCCUCUGUAAGUUUUGAGGAUGGAAAAGUGUGGAGGUCAUACGACACAUUAUAUUCUCGAAGACCAUCAGAAAAGUCAAGCUCAAGGAUCUUAACUCUUCUUUCCAAAGCAAAAGAAAUCCACCAAUCAAUGUCACAAGUCGCCUCUUUAUUCAAAUAGCAACAAAUUCGAAAUUGAUUAAUGUCUGAACCGUACUUAUGUCGCCUCAAGACUCUAUCCACCCAGUUUACAAAUUCAGGAAUCUUCUUGCGGAGUUUACUUACCAUGUAUUGCGUAAAACUAUCAUAUCCACGCUUAUUUUUAUGUCAAAGUUACAGAAUUGUGUACAAGUUCCUCCACCUUCUUGAAACAAGAGCGGCCAUAGCUGCAUCUUUCAUUGUCAAGGAAGAUAGGAUGCAGAGAAGAAUAUCAUUCGGCAACUCAUCCACGCGGCACAUCUUGAGGUCAUUUUGCUAGUUUGUUUAGAACAAUGAAAGAAGAAUAUUAGUACAAUUAGCAGAUUCCCAUGGAAUGUUGGAACGGUAUAGAUUUCAACCAAUUACUCAGCAAUAUCAUUUAAGUUUUUUUCCCACAGAAAAACAUAACAAUAGCAUAACGAAGCGUUCUCCUUUCUUUCCUGUAUUUUCAAUGUACACUACCUUUUUGAUAAAGAAUGAUAUCCUGAACCUUGAUAGAUACAAACGGAAAUUGGAGACCCCAAAAGCCAACCUCGAGGUUACAGGCUCGAAUUCGUUCUUGCAGUAUUUCAUAUUUGUAAAUUUAGACUCAAAUCUCCUCCGAAGUCAGAUUGAAUCUCCUUCGAGUCCUUGCUUGGAAUCAGUUGGAACUAGGAAUCAAAAAAUAAAAAAAAUAAAAAAAGCUUGAUCAUCAUAAAUCAGAACCUGGUGUAUAAUUGGGGUUAUCACAAAAAUAAAUGCCCACUUAUUGACAUGCCAAAUUUAUCUAUGUACACAGUAUACAAACACUAACUGUUCUUAAAGAAGAUUCUUUUCUCCAGAAAAUUUAACCCACAAAACCAAUGAGCAAAAAAAAGACAUAAUGAACAAGGUAGAACACGAACUUGUAUGAGCAGAUGAUCCGCACAACAGCAGAGACGCCAAUAUGCAGUACUAGUAAGCAGUGACCCUAUUUAUGGGCUAAGCCUAUAAACAAUAUAGGGAAACUAAUCAAUAUACCACCUUCAUAAUUGAAAAAAUCCUAAAUUGGUAUUGUUAAUAUAAAUUAAAGAUACUAAGAGAUAUGCUAGUUUAAAAUUUUAUAUAAGGAAAUUAUACAAUUAGCCGCUUAAGUCUCAGUUUCCUUACAACCGUCCCAACCCCAAUCACAGUUAGUUACCAUAUUUCUUGAAUCCGGUACACAGGAGCAGCAAUGGCGAUAUUCUUUUAUCACAAUUACCAUAUUUCCCUUCUUGCAGGAUAAUGAUCCAUAGCUCGAAUCGUGCUGUAUCGGAUCAAUAAAUUAAUAGAGUGGGCCACAUAGUUUGUUAAAGACAUAAAAUAACGAAGUUAACAAUAGGGACAUUCUAGUAAAAACGUAGUUUUCCUUCUAUGUGAGCUCCUGAGGAAGUCGCAUCUCCACUUUCUGGUCUCACUUCCACCGCACCUCUUUCUGAUUGCAGUGAUUCCGACGGUACCGCCGUUAGAUAAUGUCGUUUUCUAUGAGUUACAUAUCGCAUGGCAGGCCAUCUUUGAUUUCUAGUCCUGCUGAAGGUUGACGGCGGUUUAUGGAAGGAGAAGACGCAAGGGUUUAUGAAAUACAAACUUGAAAUACUGCAGUUUGAGGUUUCCUCAAAUUGUCUGUUUUGAAACCCCAGAUUAACGAAUUUAUAACAAGUUCAUAAUUAAUUUACAGAACCAACAACGAUGCAGGAGAGUUCUUGAUAGAUGUAUAGAAGAUGAUAGGGACAGGGGUACCCAAAGCUAAAAAAAAUCUAAAAAGCCCAAUUAUUUUUUGUCUAGAUGUUGGUGCAAUUAGUGGUCCCGUAAGACUUUUUUAUUCAUCCGAUCCCAGCACGAUUCGUGCCAUGUAUCACAGUAUCAGUGCCCUUGAAGCGAAUCCGGUAAAAAGGAGCAGCAAUGGCGAUAUUUUUUAUCGGUAAAUUGGGUUAUAGACGGAAGAGUUUUAAAAGAAUUGUAGCUCAUGGGCCAAGGCCCGCCCAAGCAAUCAUUCCAAAACAUAUAGUACUGUCCAUUUUAAUACAUUAACAUCAAUAAUACUUAAUGGUUCCAUUU